rnacentral:lncRNA from 1 species
GCGCCGGCCGCCGAGCACUUCCGGGUGAGCCCGCUGGCAACUGGGGCGUCGUGCCCGCUGAAGCUAGGGCGGUUUGGUUGGUCCCCGACUUCCACUGGGCGGAGGCCCAGGAGACUCAUGAUGUAAUGUUUAGAAAAGAACAGGAGAAAAUGUCUGGAGAGAAAAAGAGCCAAUCCUAGGCCUGUGUGUGGAAACAGCUAGAGAGAUGGGACUUAACAGAAACCAGUAGAAGAAAAACAAACAUAUAAAAGCCUGCGAUGACAUUUUUAGCUUUUCUAUGGGAAGAAAUAGAUAUAAAAUUGAUGGUAUUACUAUUUAUUAUUAUUGCAUUUUGCUUUUGAAGGAGAAGUGACUGUAUGGUUAUCAAAAUCCAUCAGAAAGUAAAAAAUAAAAAUGGCUAUGCACCCUGUGCAGGUUACACACAAUUUUGCUUAUGAUGAAGACAUCCAAUGAAGAUCCCUCCAGUACAUAGUUGUAUAUUUUAGUGGUGGGUCCUUCUAGUUGUGGCAUGUGGGAUGCUGCCUCAGCGUGGCCUGAUGAGCGGUGCCGUGUCUGUGCCCAGGAUCUGACUGGUGAAACUCUGGGCUGCCGAAGCGGAGCAUGCAGACUUAACCACUCAGCCACGGGGCCGGCCCCAGUUUGUGUAUUUUAAUGAUUUACCAUUAAAAGGACCAGUUUACAAGAAGAAAAUUAACACCAGCACAGAUGGAUUAAUUUUACCCCUUAAAUAGGGUUUUUUUUUUGCCAUAUGGAUAAUCAUGCACAAACAGCAUCUUUUUCUUCAGUCUGUAAUAGUUCUACCAAAAGGGAAGUCUUAACAGGAACAAUAUGUAUUAAUAAAGAACACAAACACAGAAUUACUAAAUAUUUUGAUUUACAUUCUUGGCUCCACAUUGCUGCAUUGGGAGAGCAUUUAUUAUCUGAGACUAUCCCUCUGUUCUGAGGGAAUAAGAAAUAGUAUACCUAAGGAUGGCUCUCUUUGUAGCCAGGAAAAGGUAGAUUACCAUUCUAG